rnacentral:rRNA from 1 species
UACAGAGGGGGCAAGCGUUAUUCGGAAUUAUUGGGCGUAAAGGGCGCGUAGGCGGCGAUUCAAGUGACGGGUGAAAUCCCUCGGCUUAACCGAGGAACUGCCUGUCAGACUGGGUCGCUUGAGACCGGGAGAGGCGAGUGGAAUUCCCAGUGUAGCGGUGAAAUGCGUAGAUAUUGGGAGGAACACCAGUGGCGAAGGCGGCUCGCUGGACCGGAACUGACGCUGAGGCGCGAAAGCGUGGGGAGCAAACAGG